rnacentral:rRNA from 1 species
UACGUAGGGUGCAAGCGUUAAUCGGAAUUACUGGGCGUAAAGCGUGCGCAGGCGGUUGUGUAAGACAGAUGUGAAAUCCCCCGGGCUCAACCUGGGAACUGCAUUUGUGACUGCACGGCUGGAGUGCGGCAGAGGGGGAUGGAAUUCCGCGUGUAGCAGUGAAAUGCGUAGAUAUGCGGAGGAACACCGAUGGCGAAGGCAAUCCCCUGGGCCUGUACUGACGCUCAUGCACGAAAGCGUGGGGAGCAAACAGG